AAAAUAGAUACCCCCGGGUAGUCCACGCCCGUAAAACGAUGAGUGCUAAGUGUUGGGGGGUUUCCGCCCCUNAGUGCUGCAGCUAACGCAUUAAAGCACUCCGCCUGGGGAGUACGGUCGCAAGACUGAAACUCAAAGGGAAUUGACGGGGGCCCGCACAAGCGGUGGAGCAUGUGGUUUAAUUCGAAGCAACGCGAAGAACCUUACCAGGUCUUGACAUCCCGGUGACCACUAUGGAGACAUAGUUUCCCCUGGGGGCAACGGUGACAGGUGGUGCAUGGUUGUCGUCAGCUCGUGUCGUGAGAUGUUGGGUUAAGUCCCGCAACGAGCGCAACCCUUAUCUUAGUUGCCAUCAUUCAGUUGGGCACUCUAAGGAGACUGCCGGUGAUAAACCGGNGGAAGGUGGGGAUGACGUCAAAGUCAUCAUGCCCCUUAUGACCUGGGCUACACACGUGCUACAUGGAACGUCAAACGGUUGCCAACCGCGAGGGGAGCUAUCCGAUAAACCGUUCUCAGUUCGAUUGUAGCUGCACUCGCUACAUGGAACG
rnacentral:rRNA from 1 species